CUAAAUUGUCAAGAUCAAGCCGUGACCACGUGACACGCAUAUGGUAUAGGCAGCUCCCGUCUGCCAGGAACCGCAAUGCUAUAUAUUAAGCCGAGGAGCAUCACCACUCAGCACAGAGAAAGCUCGCUACGAGAGACAAGGCUUUUCACUUAAAGACAGGAUGUCCCGGCCGUUCAUUGUGGUUCUACUGUUCCUGCAGCUAAUGUUCCUCCGCAGCGGGUCCGCCAGACCGUCCGCCUGCGCUGACAAAGAAACGGACAUGAAGUGCUAUUACUGCAGCUCCCAUUACGACAAGCCGAAGAUAUACGAGGAGUGUUGCGUGGACAAAGAGCUCCGAACACACUGCUUCGAGCAUAUAUGGAUCGAACCAAAGAGGGACCGUCACUGGUGACACUGACGCUGAAAAUUGGUUCAUGAAAUAAGAUUCAAAAAUUAUUUUUUUUCUUUAAGGACUGUGUUCAAAUGAAAGCCAGCUUAACAGUGAGAAACAAUUCGAUUGAAUUUCUGGAUUGAAAACAAUGAACUUAUUCCUUUCGUCACCGCUCGGCCCUUGCCGUAACAUUCAUUCGACUUGACCCGGAGUGCCGCGAUGGGUUACGAAUGAACUUUUCAACAUUAAACACACGUGGAUGUUUGUUCAAUGACAGGAAACAAGCAGUGAAUGUGUGCAAAGGCGUGGUUGACCAAAAAAACAAUCUACAAAUUCUACAUGUUACCCGUGAACUUUGACCCUCAACUUUGACCCGAACAGUUCUUUCUUGAUGACCUUGAAUUUUUUGUGACUUGAUUGUUUCAACUUCAUUAAUUAUAUAAUGUUUUCGUGCUCUCUGCCGCUACACAAAGAUGUGAGGACAUUACAGGUCAAGUCAGAACGCUCUUUCAUCCGACCAAUCAGAUCGUCACUUACGAGAUCGUAAGAGUCCGAAUGUGUUUUCUAAUUAUGCAACUUCGUAAAGGUAAACGCGGAGCAUUCCGAAAGACACUUAUGGUCUGUACGACUGAUUCGAUAGGAUAAACGUUUGAAACAGAAGAGAUCUAGACUUUCCAUAGCCCUGAAAAGUUCAUCUGUAAGACAUUCCAGAAUGUUCUUUUGUUGACUUUUAAAAUUUUGAAUCGAGACGUUUGCAAAAAUAUUUUUCAUAGCGUAGUCUGGAAAGGAGGUAGUAGAGCUGCUCUCUGAUUGGCUGAUGUCGACCAUCUUUAGAUUUGUCGGUCAAAGUUCGCGAAAGUCGUUCUGAUGUGACCCGUAAAGGGGUGUCCUGAGAUCUUCGCGAAGCAGGGGCGAGCACUAAGAUCUGAUUAUGAUGAGAUUGGGAUUGUUUCUUUUGUCAAUUCCACAUUUGUCUGUCGUAGACAUCAUCUGCCAUUAUCUAAAUAAAUUUUUUGUAUACUGAAUUAUGAGACUUAUAUUAAAAACCUAUUCGUGGCUUGUUUACAUACACAUAUACUUGGCUUUGCCUCAAUAACAGUAAUGCAGAAAUCGUCGUGUAUUAUUAUCUUUAAGUAUAGGUGAAUGUGGUCUCUCUCUCUCUCUCUCUCUCUAGAUCCUUAAUUUAAUUUAUUUCACAGUUGUUUCCGCAUUUUAUGUCCCGAACAUUUUGCCAGCCAGUGUAGGCAGGUGUGUGUAAGAAACUAUCCUGUAUCUGAUAGUAAAAGGGGGCGGUCGAGUAGCCUAGUGGUUAAAGAGUUCAAUCAUCACGCCGAAGGCCCGGGUUCGAUUCCCCACAUGGGUACAAUGUGUGAAGCCCAUUACUGGUGUCCCCGACAAGAUAUUGCUAAAAUAUUGUUACGAGCGGCGUAAAACCAUACUCAUUCACUGUGAAAACCAUUGUCAUAACAACUGAAAGCGGUCUUGGAACGUAAAAUGAUGAAGAACUAAUACUCCUUUUGUUGUGGCCUAAUCCAGAUCCUCGUUAUACAGCGACGCUGAGCAUUGUACGCAUCAAGAUAUUGUAUUGUUGUUUGGCAUCAGCAAUCAAGUUAAUUUAAUUCCGAUGAAAUUAUCUAUAUCGAAAUAAAUUUGUUUUGAUUUA